UUCUCUUUCUCUCUCCCUCCAAGCCCACGAGCUAUGUGAAUGCACGUCUGUGUGUGUGUGUGUGCGUUUGGAUGUGCACGCGUGAUGGUGUAAAUGUGACAGCGCGCAGCGGCUCAGUUUCCUCGGGAAAAGCGUGAUUUGCUCCCUGCCCGUCUUCUUCUUGGCGCUCUCAUCCAGACGGUGCUCAAGAGAGCAGUUCGCAACAAAACAAAACAAAACAAAACAAAGAACACCUUUUUUGGAAUAAGAAACGCAUUGCUGUGUUCUGACUUGGAUGAAAGGGACUCCUCUGGAAUUUCUUCAGGACUCAAACCUUCAAGCCCUGUUAUCGGGUGCUUUGCCGUUCAACCGCUCCGGCGUGUAUAAUGUGACCGACAGUUCCGCACUAGGGAAAUUCAGAGGAGUUUUGCUCAUCUUCAUUCUGGUCUGAGGCAGCAAUAGCAACUCUUAUUCUUAAUAGAAUUAACAUACUCGUUGCCAUUGUGUUUUCCUGGUUCAGCCACUCCGUUCAGCCGGGCGUGCUGGUUUCACCGGUGGGUCAGCAAGGUACACCCACGGCAUCGGGACAGCAUGUCGGCAUCUGCAUGACCCCAGCCUCAUUUUACGUUCUCUUCCCCGAGACGUCCGCCGCGACAUGAGGCCUGCGGCAGGUCUCAGCAGAGAGAAUGUUCCUUGACUUUCACACUGAACACCUCAAGCUCUUCAAAUCCUGGCAAGUCUGCUUGAGUGCUGAAAGGCUGUGACUACAUUCCCUGCAUCUGAGAAAUCAGAGCGGACUGACUCACAGGGCUCUGUGAGCCAGCGCCACCGAGGCUGCCAAAGCAUGCUGGUGCCGAGCUGUCCCACCAUGCGCCGCGCCAGGCCCGCGCUGAUGCUCGUCGCCCUGGGUCUGCUCGCCCACCUCGUUGACGCUCAAACGCCACCAAAGUUUUUACGGACGCCCAACGACCAAACGGGCGUGCAGGGCGGCGUGGCCUCCUUCAUCUGCCAGGCCACGGGCGACCCGCGGCCCAAGAUCGUGUGGAACAAAAAGGGGAAGAAAGUGAGCAACCAGCGAUUCGAGGUGAUCGAGUUUGACGACGGCUCCGGCUCGGUGCUGCGCAUCCAGCCGCUGCGCACGCCGCGUGACGAGGCCAUAUACGAGUGCGUCGCCUCCAACAGCGUCGGGGAGACCAGCGCGACCACCCGGCUCACCGUUUUGCGUGGUACGUCCCCACUUGGUCAAGGAAAUCCGUCGUUUGUAGCCGCAAUUUUCACCGUACGCGCUCGUACUUUGACUGUAGCGGUUUAAUGUAACUUAUUCACUGCCGUGAACGUUGAUCAUUGUCAAUUGGUAGAGUGGUUGACAUCCGAUCUGGCUGAUAAAACUUUUUAUGUUCGCCUGAGUCCCAAUCUGCCCCAUUGUCGUAAAUUUUGGUGCGCCUGCCGCUUUCGUUGUAUUUGCUACCCGUGGGUUCCAUAUUAAGAAAGUGUGGUAUUUCCUUCGACAGUCAGAACUGUGUCCUGCUGAGCCAAAAGGAUAAUUUCUGACUAAAGCCGCUUUUGUCCUGUCUGGAGGAAAUCAAGGCCUGGAAUGACACUGAAAUGACUGGAUUUCAAUGAAGAGAAAACCGAAGUUAGCAUGUUUGUUAACCCUUGUACAUCCCACUUUGCCGACUUAGGCCCCUUGGGCGCCUUAUCUAAAGCCAAAAGUCUCAAAUGUUUGAAACUGGACAGUGUUAUUCGAAUGUGCUUUAUUUUGGAGACAGCUAGUACUCCCGAAAGCAUUUCCAGUUGGUCCAAAAUGCUGCUGCUUGCCUCCUAACUGGAGCUUGUCGGCGGGACCACAUACCGUAACUCAAAUUCUUGACUCAAAUUCGACAGUUCACUGCCGUCAACAAAUACAUAUUUCAGACAAAUUUUUCAACGGAUAGACGUGGAGAAAGAGCUCGACCAGUUUGUCCGACAAUAUCGAGCUUGGAAAUCACUGCAAUGACAAAAACAUCCCUGUAGAUGGCAACGUUACAGCGCUUUGGAUUUGAGAUCAACAGAGCACAUCUAACAUACCAACACAACAAAACACAACAAGUUUAGAUGUGUUUAAAGUAGAUAGGAGAGACAAAACUGUUUAAAAAGAAAAGCAUGUAAAUAUAAUAUGUACUGUAUCACUCGUGAUGAAUGAAGCUUCACUGUCCGUUUUUUUUUUUU